rnacentral:misc_RNA from 1 species
UUUAACCCGUUAGGGAGGCCGGCGCCCAAGGAGUGUCUGAUGAUUGGGGUGAAGUCGUAACAAGGUAGCCGUAGGGGAACCUGCGGCUGGAUCACCUCCUUUCUAAGGAUUUUCAGGAGAAGGCUACGGCCGGAUCCAGAGAAUUACCUGGUCAGCCUCGCUCAUAAGAUGGUCACUAUUCAGUUUUCAGAGACCGGCUCAGCCGGUCUUUUACAGAUAAGAGAAUUCUGGGGAUAUAGCUCAGUUGGUUAGAGCGCGCGCCUGAUAAGCGCGAGGUCAGAAGUUCAAAUCUUCUUAUCCCCACCAGGAGAUGGACCCGCCUCUGGGGGCGUAGCUCAGCUGGGAGAGCAGCUGGUUUGCAACCAGCAGGUCGUCGGUUCGAACCCGGUCGCCUCCACCAAGGGACCCUCCUUUAGACUUCAAGAUUUCUCGAUCUUUGAUAACUGCAUAUUGUUGAUGAAUUGAAUGAGUGCUGGAUGUUCUCAAGUAAUGGCGAACAAUUGUUCAAGCUACGAAGAGCAUAUGGUGGAUGCCUAGGCACACAGAGGCGAUGAGGUCAU